AAACGCGACGAGGAACGGGGCUGCUCUCUUCGUCUCAUAUAUAGCGGACAUAAAUUUAUUCUCGCAUAUUUUUGUACUUUCGUGUGUUCGGGUGAUGAAUUGAAAUUUUUUUACAAAUAGAACAAAAGGACCGAUUGCCAUUUUAAGUGCUCUCGUACGUUAUAACAUAUCGAGUGUGUGACAACUGUGACAAUAUCCCUCGCGAAUGUCCAUAGAAUAAGAAAGAAAAGAGAAAAACAGAAUGAAAUAUAAAUUGAUUUAAUUGAAUAUUUAGUACGUUUCGUAUAUAAUAAGCGAUUAGGUAGGUUGAAAGAAUAAGAAAAAAAAAUAGAUACAAAUUCUUUGAUUACUGAUGGGUAGAACAGAUAUGUCAAAAACGCUGAACGCUUAUAGAAUUAAGAAAAUCGAACAUAUAGGCAGAAUGACAGCCAUGACACAGGAGGAGAUAGUAGCCGGCGCUCGGACGGUGGCCCAGGGACUGGAGGCUCUUCGCUGUGAACACGGGGGUCUCCUGCAGGGUCUACAGUCUCAGGAGGCACCAGCGGCGAGGGAAAAGGCCAGUCUAAUAUCCAGGAAUAUUGAAAUGAUCGAAUUGGGUCUUGGAGAAGCACAAGUCAUGAUGGCCUUGGCUAGUCACUUACAAAUGGUCGAAGCUGAGAAGCAGAAACUCAGAACGCAAGUUAGACGAUUGUGUCAGGAAAAUGCAUGGCUCAGAGACGAGCUUGCAGGAACUCAACAGAAGUUGCAGGGCAGUGAACAAGCGGUUGCACAACUAGAAGUAGAGAAGAGGCAGCUGAACUUUAUGGCCAGCAUAAGACAAUUUGAUCCUGAUCCACCAGCUGAGGAUGAAAAUACAAAGGAUAGGCCGAAAGAUGAUCCAGUUGUUGAUCUGUUCCCGGAUGAUGAUAACGAUGAUCGAACCAUGACACCAACUCCACCAUCUCAGUUCGCCCAACAAGUGAAUGCUGGAUACGAAAUACCAGCACGUCUCCGUACUCUACAUAAUCUUGUUAUCCAAUAUGCGAGUCAAGGGCGUUACGAAGUGGCAGUACCACUGUGCAAGCAGGCGUUAGAAGACCUUGAAAAAACAUCUGGUCAUGAUCACCCCGAUGUUGCAACGAUGCUAAAUAUUUUAGCCCUAGUUUACAGAGAUCAAAACAAGUUCAAAGAGGCAGCAAAUCUGCUUAAUGAUGCUUUAGCCAUCAGAGAAAAAACUUUGGGUGAAAAUCACCCAGCUGUUGCUGCAACGUUAAAUAACUUGGCUGUUUUAUAUGGUAAACGUGGGAAAUAUAAGGAAGCUGAGCCGUUAUGCAAGCGUGCAUUGGAGAUUCGGGAAAAGGUACUUGGACGUGAGCAUCCAGAUGUUGCAAAACAGUUGAAUAAUUUGGCGCUGUUGUGUCAAAACCAGGGAAAAUAUGAGGAGGUUGAACGCUACUAUCAACGUGCUUUAGUAAUUUACGAAUCAAAGUUAGGGCCAGACGAUCCAAACGUUGCAAAGACAAAAAAUAAUCUUGCCUCUUGUUACCUCAAACAAGGAAAAUAUAAGGAGGCGGAGGUUCUCUACAAACAGGUCCUAACAAGAGCUCAUGAACGUGAAUUUGGGGCAAUUGAAGGUGACAACAAACCAAUAUGGCAGGUAGCGGAAGAGCGUGAAGAAAAUAAACAUAGAAAUAAGGAAAACGCGCCAUAUGGUGAAUAUGGUGGUUGGCAUAAAGCAGCAAAAGUCGAUUCACCUACGGUAACUACAACACUCAAAAACUUAGGCGCACUUUACCGGCGACAGGGAAAAUAUGAGGCUGCUGAAACGCUUGAAGACUGUGCGUUGAGGUCACGAAGAGAGCCGCACGUACAGCAGGCGCUAGACUUAGUGAAGCAGGCGAAAGUAGCACAGAUCCUUGGAGAUGAGAAAGGAUCAACAAGGCGAGGCUCACGAUCGAGUUUGGCAAACAGCGAGCAAGAACAGCACGACGAGUUUUUUUCGUUGUCCGGCCCGAAUCCACGAUUCGACGACUCGACACUCAAUCACAGACCUCGCUGCCGUUGGUACAAGGGGCGCUGCACGAAGAACAGUCUGGCCAUCAAGAUGCUAGCCCAAACAAACCAGGACUCAAAACCAAACUGUUCAAUGUUCUUGGAAUUCAUUCUUCUACGUAGGACGUUGCUCUGAUUGUUUGAUUGUUCUCUUGUUUGUUCCUUUGUUAACUUGGGGUUGUUUUAGAUAACGCAGCACUAGAUUCGUCGAUAUUUAUAGUUGAAAAAAAAUUCAUACAACUGAAUUUCCCACAGCAACAAAGUAUACUCUUCAACUACAUAAACAGCUUUUAUUUCAACUGAAUUCGGAAAUAAAUAUUUUGCUUCUAGGAUAAUAAUUAAACGUUUCUCAGGCAAGUUUUGCGUUCAAUCAUGUGAAGAAUAUGACUUUAAACUGCUAUUUUGGCAUCAUGUUUUCGGAUAAAAUCUUGACUCGAGGCUAAGAGCAUCUGAUUAUAGAUUCAAAAUUAUUUCCGUUCAAAAGCAAUUAAUAAAGCUUAUCAUCGAAUUGAUUAUCCAUACUUUCAUAUUAAACGUGAAGCAAAAAAACCUGCUACAAACAGACGACGAUUUCUUGGAGAUGAAAACAAGCUAUUGAGUGCUGUUGAAAUUCGCUAAUUUGUAAUUUCUGGAAGGAUAGAGUGAAUUAAAUUGCUACAUCGGAUCAAAUCGUUUAUAUAACAUUAAUAAUACAUUAUUUUUGAAAGUUGAGGCAGCGUUUUACCGAAGCAAUUGAUGAUGAAGUCGAUUUGUCCGGGGUGCUUCAUAGUCGGGAUUGUACAUCUUGUUGAAAACGAAAUUAUUUACAACAAUAUAUACGUUUAUGCUCGCAAAACUAUUUAACCAUGCCUAAUACAUCGUUGUUAGCAAGAUAUCGUAGAAUUGUGCCGCGAUAAAUAUAACGAAUAGUCUUCCUCUGUUGAAAACAUUACAGAUAAUCUAUUCACGAAACAACUACACAAUUUAGUAUUCUAUUAACCAAAUUACUGUUAUCUUGAAGCGAUAAUUCACAAUGAUACAUUAUUACAUUUGCUUUGCAUAACUAUAUAGCUGAGUAUAGAUACGCAAAGGCAAUUUUUUAAACACCCUAUUCACGAAUAUACUUAUGUUCUGAAUACUGUGGGGACGAGGCUCGAUGUUCAAGUCAUUUAUAUUCGCAGUGAUUCUCUCAUAAUUUGAUAGUCUACAUUGUUCUAUUUUUAGUAAAGUUCACACUUUGCAAGGGUUUUAUCAUGAUUUUACAAAAUGUUCGAAACAAUUUUUAUAUAUCGUUUUUUUACUGUAUCAAUCUCUUUUUACGUCCUGCAUGUGCAUAUUUCUAAGAAAAAUUUAAUUCUGGGUACUUGAGUAUCGUUUUAUUUAGUUCACUAUGUUGCGCCGAACUUUUCAAAUUUAGGUAAAAUCAUUUUUAACAAACUCAUUCAUUUUUAGCUAACAAGUAUAAUACAUCAGGAUAAAAUAAGAGCUCUAUAUUCAAUCGAGAUCAGGCUCAUAUUUACACAGUCAUAAAAUUUGGCACCUGGAUGCCAAAAACAAAAAUAGUAUACGUAGAAAUAUAUAUAUAUCACGAUUAGUAUUUAAUAAAGUUGUAACAAAAGCCGUUUAUUCAGUAUAAAACGCAGAAAAACUAAUCGAUAACGCAUACAGGUCGCGCAGAAUAUUUGUCAGGCUAUUUAUAAAAGUUAUACUUUGAUAUGAGGGACCCUGUAUUAAUUUUUUUUUUUUUUUUUUUCAUUUUCAUUUUUACCUUUAUAGAAUAAUUAAGUUUCUUACGAAGUAAUGUUAAUUGUUUAACUUUAUUACUAGAUAGAAUUCAAGUCUAAGAUUUCAAUUGAUUGUUCCAAGAGUUUAAAGAACAGUUAUUAUAGGAAAACUGUAAAACAGUGAAGGGUAGUGCCUUGAUACUUUAACAAAUCAAUAAAUUAUUUUACAAAAGUGAAAGAUUAUUAUUUAUAAAUAAAAGUUAUUCACGCUGUCUCUGUCAUAGUAAGAUUUUGUUAAAAGCCCUUGUCUUUUUUACUGCAUGGGAUUUAACCGUUUCUCGUAGGCAUAUAUCCAUUCAAUAGGAAUUUCAAAAACGGUAUACAUUGUAUUGAUGCAGAGCAUAAUUAGGUAACAGUUGAGUGUCUUCUCUGGUAAUCCGUUCAAAAAAAUUAUCUACUUAGUCUAGAUGAUUGAUCAUUGUCACGAUAGAUUUCCAUUUGAAGCUCUUUUGGCGAAAUAAUAACAGUAGACUGUUGUACUCAUUCUGAAUACUAAAAUUUUGAUUAAUGUUGAGGGUGUAAACCAAUUUUGAAGACAAGAUAGUUGAAUUUGAUACACUUAGAAGAAUGCUUGCAUAUCGUAUUACAAAACGUUAAGAACUUAGGUCAUAAUUAUAAGAUCUGCAUCAUUAUUUCUAAAUUCUAAAAUCAGAAGCCGUAUUAAAGAUGUUAGAUUUAAUUUCUGUUGCCGAUCGCCAUCGCAGUAUCUAAGAUAUUAUUUUACAUGGUUUUACAUUUUACAUAAUCAGGAUCGAGGUCAUCGAGGUUUUUAUGCAUCUUUACCUUUGACUCGUAUUAGGUUUUCUUUCAUAUACUUGCGUUCGUAUUUUUUCGACUUUAUUUGAAUACCGCGGGCCUGGGGUUUAGGUACGGAUGCCAGCAGAUCAUCAAAAUCGAAAUAACCAGACGGAAUGUACCUAAAAUAAACAGGAUCGCAAACACGCUGUUCGUGCCCAGUAACCAGGAUAUAAAAGAAACAUUCAAAUGAAGGCCAAGGACUCGACAAUGUUUUACUAAAAUGUUGCCCGACGUCCACAAGACCUACAUCAUAUGGUUUCUCAGCACAUUCCAGCUGCUUUUAAAUUGAUACGAGAUUUCAGGCUUAUCUAGGUGGGUUCAUUAAAUACUUAAUCAGUUCAAAUACAGUGAUCACCAAGCAAACGUAACAACUUCUUGACAUGCUCAUUUUAGGAAACGAGUGACAACGAUUCGAAAUAAAAAUUCACUCUAAUGGUAACCCCAAUUCUUUUCAUACUUAUAUUACUUUUAAUGUGUAAAAAUUUGUUAUAGGUGAGCGUAUAUUAUUAAUUGUAAAGCAGGUCAUCAAAUCCUGCAUGGAUUAUAUUUCCCAAAAUAUCACCUUUGCAAGCCUGUGCUCUGUAUCAAAAUAAAUCGUUACAACGUCAAAAUCUAUUUGCACAGACCUAGUAAUGUAGCGGAAUAACUUUGUGGCGUUAUCACUUUCUAGUUCAUCAUGCAUAUUUAAUUGAAUGAGAAAAAACAAAUACGUAUCCACAGAAUGGAAAAAAAAGAAGAAAAACUAUGUAAAUAAAUACUGGCAAACUACAACCGAUUUUUGCAGCAUGUAAUACUGUUAACUUGACUGGAAAAUAAUAAAAAAAAAAAAAAAACAGUAGCAGAAAACGGACAUAUUAUCGCUUUGAAUGCUAUGUGCAAGGACAUUCUCAAUGAGCGUUUAUCGUCAAGAAUGAAGUUGUCAUCUUGGCAAUUGAAGAACUCUCUGUGAUGUUAUCAUUUGUUUGGUCUUCUUUUUUCUUCCUCAAUGUAUGUAGUGCAAAACUGGUCAAGUUUUCCAUUUGUAUUACUAUGUGUCCUAUAUACAAAUAUGCAAUACGCCUUAUACUCAUUCUUAGCUUGAACUAAAGACAUUUCCUUUUUUAAACGAUGGAUUAUUAUUACAUACAUCAAUUCCAUGCUAUGAUGGUUUAUUCUUAAGUUAUUUGGUGAAAGGUGAGCCUCUCGAGUAGAGGUCAUGUCAACAAAUAAUUUUCAAAAACUUCUUACGACAGUGCGUCAAUAUUUUCCGGAGACCCAAAUCAAGAUGUUUUAUCAUUAUUUAAAUUAGUUUACUGUACUUAAUAACAAUAUUGCAAGGUUUGUACUUUUUUUUUUACACAAGUAAUCACAUUGAAACUGGCCGUUUGCUAUGUAUAUUUGUUACCUUCUAAUUGCGAUUGGCAGCUAAUUUAUUUCGCAAUUAAUUUUUCUGGGUACUCAUCCAGAGUAGAUCUCUCUCUCUCAGAGAUGAUAAUACGUACAUUUCUGAAAUUUAUAUUAUAACAGCAGUGUUUGAUGAACAAUUAGUAUAACAACAGAGGUCAGUAGAUUCGGUUGCCUAACGUGGUAAUCCCAUCGGAGCUAUUCUAAACAGUUAGUAGAAGGCUUGUUAUGCUUUCAUCUUUUUAAAAAGGUUCUCAGAAAUUAUCGACUAUAUAAUAUAUUUAAUCACGUAUAGCACUGUGAAAACAAUACAAUUAUAAAAAGUGUAACAAGGCGGUGAUUGUUAAGCGUUUGAAAUUGCUUGGGGUUAAACUGAUUAAGUUCCUUGCAAUGUGAGAAACUUAAAUUGCGUGAAAUUUAUAUUUUAUUAAACAGAAUAACUGAAGCUGUGUGAGAAUUUAUACAUUUUGCUACCAUUAAUCAUUUGGAUUUUAGAGUUUGUUUGCAGUAUUAGACCCCUCUCCUGUAUCUGGGCUUUUUUCUUUUUUUAAUAAAACUUUUAUCAAGCCAGUGAAAAUUAGGACAAAUAUUCUAUUCUCAAAAACUGUUGUAAUAUGAUUGAGGUGUUGCGAAUAAUCUAUUCUCAGUAUUUAAAAAUUAAAGUUAGGUUACAGAUUAUUUAAGUUAAUAUUGUUGGAGAAAACGAAGCCUAUCUUAUAAUAAAAACUAUGAAAAUAUGUAAGCUAUAUUUCCUUGUGACUCAAGAAUGGCAAUUAUUAUUAUUACGAAAAAGAAAAUAAAACGUGAUAAUCUGUAAGCUUUGGUUUAUAAUAAAUAUUCUAACUUGUAUACUGAAA